rnacentral:misc_RNA from 1 species
CGAGAAAAUGCUGUCUCUGGAAAGAAUUUCUUUACACAGCCGUCGUCUUGGGUUCUUCAGGAAGCUAUCACUCAGCUGAUUUUUAUCUCUCGUACGUUCUGCCAGGGAGAAGAUUUUUCUUCCAUGGCCCUGGAUUUUUCAGCGCUCAGCGUCUUCCUCUGCCGCACGCCGGCAGCAGUUCUCCUCCCUCCAGCUCGCUGGCGUUAUCCUCUGCGCCGCUUUGGCUUACAAAAAUCCUGGCUGCCGGUGUUUAUCUCCUCACGGCGCCGCCCCUGGGACUCUUCAAAUACCCUGCCGUGCUCUCUCUCUUCUCUGUUCCUCUCGUUCCCUGACGAGCUGCCAUGGCGUCCUCGUCUGUCGCGGUAUCCCGGCUCCUCGCCCAGGACGGCACUCGGCCCUGCCCCUGCCCCAGCUUCCUGCGCGCCAUGGCGAUUUCUUCAAGCUCGCUCCAGCGCCGCUUCUUUUCCCCAACCGCGCCACGCGGCCUGUCUCCCUGUGCGCUCGAUUCAGUUCGUUUCCUCCCUGGACGCGCGCUCUGCAGCUUGUCGGAGCACCCUGCGUCGCGCCCAGGUGCUUUGCUUCUUGCUCGCCGUUCCAACUUCUCCUGCCAUGGAGCUCGCCGAGCCCUCCCCAGCCGUUCCUCCUCCUGUAGCUCGCCCCUGCGCGUGCGUCUUCUCGCGUCGUCCCUGCGUCGCGCGCGCGUUCCUUCCUGUGCGCGCCAGCAGCCGCGUCUCUCCGGUGUUUCCUCCCUGCGUGCGCGAAAUUUCCUUGCUCGCUGGGGCGCUUGGUCCGUGCUCCACUGUGCCGCUGUUUGUCUGCACGCGUCAAGCUCCCGUGCUGAAUCUAGCCCCAUGUUGACGCGUUCCUGUUCCAGCUUAUCGUGUUGCGUCGUCAUCACUUUCUGUCGCGAGCUCGAUUCCCGUUGUCAUCGGGCUUUAUGUGUGCUCGCGUUUGCCGUCGAGUCGAUGAACCCGUCAUCCCCUGCUCAACCCUACCCCGCCUGCUCGCUCCAGACACAAUCUCGUCAUCGUCCCGCGCGUCAUCAAGAAUCCCAAGAAUCGGGUGAAGACGAAGCUAGCAGCGCGAUAUUCCCCAAGCGCUCGACAAUUGCCUGGAUCGGAAAAUCACUACCGAUCUCGCGGAUUCGAAUCGGCUAUUGAAACGGUACGUUAAUUAAUCGCGUGAUGCGGAAGACAAGCCAAGUCAACCCCAAACGCGGGCUAACCCGCAGGAUGAUGUAGAUGGAUAACCCGAUUAAGUACCAAGACAAAGGCUGCUCGUCAAGCGAACGUCGUCUAACAACACUAACCUAGUGUUACUCAGGCAAGCCCCGGUGCAUUUGCCACCCUCCUUGAUGUUUUUAAAAAUCUUUCUCACUUGCUUGAUGCAUUAGGUGAUAGGAGUUGAUUGAUAAAACAAUUCCUGCAUUACCUUCCUUGAAUUCGAUUACCUCCCUUGAUCACCCGUUUUACAAAAUAUUUUUGAUGCUUAGCCUUGCUUUAGAAAAACAAAAUGUUUUGUUUUCCAAAAUAUGAUGUGGCAAAAGUGGGUGG